AUUGAACGCUGGCGGCAUGCCUUACACAUGCAAGUCGAACGGCAGCACGGGUGCUUGCACCUGGUGGCGAGUGGCGAACGGGUGAGUAAUACAUCGGAACAUGUCCUGUAGUGGGGGAUAGCCCGGCGAAAGCCGGAUUAAUACCGCAUACGAUCUACGGAUGAAAGCGGGGGACCUUCGGGCCUCGCGCUAUAGGGUUGGCCGAUGGCUGAUUAGCUAGUUGGUGGGGUAAAGGCCUACCAAGGCGACGAUCAGUAGCUGGUCUGAGAGGACGACCAGCCACACUGGGACUGAGACACGGCCCAGACUCCUACGGGAGGCAGCAGUGGGGAACUUUGGACAAUGGGCGAAAGCCUGAUCCAGCAAUGCCGCGUGUGUGAAGAAGGCCUUCGGGUUGUAAAGCACUUUUGUCCGGAAAGAAAUCCUUGGCUCUAAUACAGUCGGGGGAUGACGGUACCGGAAGAAUAAGCACCGGCUAACUACGUG
rnacentral:rRNA from 1 species